rnacentral:rRNA from 1 species
UACGUAGGGCGCAAGCGUUAUCCGGAAAGUUAUUGGGCGUAAAGAGGCUCGUAGGCGGUUUGUCGCGUCUGCCGUGAAAGUCCGGGGCUCAACUCCGGAUCUGCGGUGGGUACGGGUCAGACUAGAGGUGAUGUAUGGGGAGACGUGGAAAUUCCUGGUGUAGCGGUGAAUAACGCCAGAGUAUCAGGAGGAACACCCGGUGGCGAAGGCGGGUCUCUGGGACCGAUGAACUGACGGCU